rnacentral:rRNA from 1 species
GGGUUGUGAGGUUAAGCGACUAAGCGUACACGGUGGAUGCCCUGGCAGUCAGAGGCGAUGAAGGACGUGCUAAUCUGCGAAAAGCGUCGGUAAGGUGAUAUGAACCGUUAUAACCGGCGAUGUCCGAAUGGGGAAACCCAGUGCAAUUCGUUGCACUAUCGUUAACUGAAUACAUAGGUUAACGAGGCGAACCGGGGGAACUGAAACAUCUAAGUACCCCGAGGAAAAGAAAUCAACCGAGAUUCCCCCAGUAGCGGCGAGCGAACGGGGAGCAGCCCAGAGUCUGAAUCAGCUUGUGUGUUAGUGGAACGGUCUGGAAAGUCCGACGGUACAGGGUGAUAGUCCCGUACACCAAAAUGCACAGGCUGUGAACUCGAAGAGUAGGGCGGGACACGUGGUAUCCUGUCUGAAUAUGGGGGGACCAUCCUCCAAGGCUAAAUACUCCUGACUGACCGAUAGUGAACCAGUACCGUGAGGGAAAGGCGAAAAGAACCCCGGCGAGGGGAGUGAAAAAGAACCUGAAACCGUGUACGUACAAGCAGUGGGAGCACCUUCGGGUGUGACUGCGUACCUUUUGUAUAAUGGGUCAGCGACUUAUAUUCUGUAGCAAGGUUAACCGUAUAGGGGAGCCGCAGGGAAACCGAGUCUUAACUGGGCGUUAAGUUGCAGGGUAUAGACCCGAAACCCGGUGAUCUAGCCAUGGGCAGGUUGAAGGUUGGGUAACACUAACUGGAGGACCGAACCGACUAAUGUUGAAAAAUUAGCGGAUGACUUGUGGCUGGGGGUGAAAGGCCAAUCAAACCGGGAGAUAGCUGGUUCUCCCCGAAAGCUAUUUAGGUAGCGCCUCGUGAACUCAUCUUCGGGGGUAGAGCACUGUUUCGGCUAGGGGGUCAUCCCGACUUACCAACCCGAUGCAAACUACGAAUACCGAAGAAUGUUAUCACGGGAGACACACGGCGGGUGCUAACGUCCGUCGUGAAGAGGGAAACAACCCAGACCGCCAGCUAAGGUCCCAAAGUCAUGGUUAAGUGGGAAACGAUGUGGGAAGGCACAGACAGCCAGGAUGUUGGCUUAGAAGCAGCCAUCAUUUAAAGAAAGCGUAAUAGCUCACUGGUCGAGUCGGCCUGCGCGGAAGAUGUAACGGGGCUAAACCAUGCACCGAAGCUGCGGCAGCGACACUAUGUGUUGUUGGGUAGGGGAGCGUUCUGUAAGCCUGCGAAGGUGACCUGUGAGGGUUGCUGGAGGUAUCAGAAGUGCGAAUGCUGACAUAAGUAACGAUAAAGCGGGUGAAAAGCCCGCUCGCCGGAAGACCAAGGGUUCCUGUCCAACGUUAAUCGGGGCAGGGUGAGUCGACCCCUAAGGCGAGGCCGAAAGGCGUAGUCGAUGGGAAACAGGUUAAUAUUCCUGUACUUGGUGUUACUGCGAAGGGGGGACGGAGAAGGCUAUGUUAGCCGGGCGACGGUUGUCCCGGUUUAAGCAUGUAGGCUGGUUAUCCAGGCAAAUCCGGAUAAUCAAGGCUGAGGUGUGAUGACGAGGCACUACGGUGCUGAAGUAACAAAUGCCCUGCUUCCAGGAAAAGCCUCUAAGCAUCAGGUAACAUUGAAUCGUACCCCAAACCGACACAGGUGGUCAGGUAGAGAAUACCAAGGCGCUUGAGAGAACUCGGGUGAAGGAACUAGGCAAAAUGGUGCCGUAACUUCGGGAGAAGGCACGCUGGUGUGUAGGUGAAGCCCCUGCGGGUGGAGCUGAGACCAGUCGAAGAUACCAGCUGGCUGCAACUGUUUAUUAAAAACACAGCACUGUGCAAACACGAAAGUGGACGUAUACGGUGUGACGCCUGCCCGGUGCCGGAAGGUUAAUUGAUGGGGUUAUCCGUAAGGAGAAGCUCUUGAUCGAAGCCCCGGUAAACGGCGGCCGUAACUAUAACGGUCCUAAGGUAGCGAAAUUCCUUGUCGGGUAAGUUCCGACCUGCACGAAUGGCGUAAUGAUGGCCAGGCUGUCUCCACCCGAGACUCAGUGAAAUUGAACUCGCUGUGAAGAUGCAGUGUACCCGCGGCAAGACGGAAAGACCCCGUGAACCUUUACUAUAGCUUGACACUGAACAUUGAGCCUUGAUGUGUAGGAUAGGUGGGAGGCUUUGAAGCGUGGACGCCAGUCUGCGUGGAGCCAACCUUGAAAUACCACCCUUUAAUGUUUGAUGUUCUAACGUUGGCCCCUGACCGGGGUUGCGGACAGUGUCUGGUGGGUAGUUUGACUGGGGCGGUCUCCUCCCAAAGCGUAACGGAGGAGCACGAAGGUUAGCUAAUCCUGGUCGGACAUCAGGAGGUUAGUGCAAUGGCAUAAGCUAGCUUGACUGCGAGCGUGACGGCGCGAGCAGGUGCGAAAGCAGGUCAUAGUGAUCCGGUGGUUCUGAAUGGAAGGGCCAUCGCUCAACGGAUAAAAGGUACUCCGGGGAUAACAGGCUGAUACCGCCCAAGAGUUCAUAUCGACGGCGGUGUUUGGCACCUCGAUGUCGGCUCAUCACAUCCUGGGGCUGAAGUAGGUCCCAAGGGUAUGGCUGUUCGCCAUUUAAAGUGGUACGCGAGCUGGGUUUAGAACGUCGUGAGACAGUUCGGUCCCUAUCUGCCGUGGGCGCUGGAGAAUUGAGGGGGGCUGCUCCUAGUACGAGAGGACCGGAGUGGACGCAUCACUGGUGUUCGGGUUGUCAUGCCAAUGGCACUGCCCGGUAGCUAAAUGCGGAAGAGAUAAGUGCUGAAAGCAUCUAAGCACGAAACUUGCCCCGAGAUGAGUUCUCCCUGAGACUUUAAGUCUCCUGAAGGAACGUUAAAGACGAUGACGUUGAUAGGCCGGGUGUGUAAGCGCAGCGAUGCGUUGAGCUAACCGGUACUAAUGAACCGUGAGGCUUAACCUUACAACGCCGAAG